rnacentral:rRNA from 1 species
AGAGUUUGAUCCUGGCUCAGGACGAACGCUGGCGGCGUGCCUAAUACAUGCAAGUUGAGCGAUGAAGAUUGGUGCUUGCACCAAUUUGAAGAGCAGCGAACGGGUGAGUAACGCGUGGGGAAUCUGCCUUUGAGCGGGGGACAACAUUUGGAAACGAAUGCUAAUACCGCAUAAUAACUUUAAACAUAAGUUUUAAGUUUGAAAGAUGCAAUUGCAUCACUCAAAGAUGAUCCCGCGUUGUAUUAGCUAGUUGGUGAGGUAAAGGCUCACCAAGGCGAUGAUACAUAGCCGACCUGAGAGGGUGAUCGGCCACAUUGGGACUGAGACACGGCCCAAACUCCUACGGGAGGCAGCAGUAGGGAAUCUUCGGCAAUGGACGAAAGUCUGACCGAGCAACGCCGCGUGAGUGAAGAAGGUUUUCGGAUCGUAAAACUCUGUUGGUAGAGAAGAACGUUGGUGAGAGUGGAAAGCUCAUCNAGUGACGGUAACUACCCAGAAAGGGACGGCUAACUACGUGCCAGCAGCCGCGGUAAU